GCGAAACACAUGUGGGGAUGGAUCAGAAAGUCUUUGACGUCAAUCUCAGAUUCAAGACACCGGUUCGGUAAUAAACUUCGAGCACAUCUUCAGCUCGGAGAGAUUGCAACUUUUACUACAUAAAGUUUAGUUUUUUUUUAUUGGUGGAGAUGAUUGGGAACCCUGUAAUGUCAUCGUCUUCAAUGAUCGUUUCCCCUCGAGUUUAUUAUCCCAAUGGGCUUCCUCAUCUCCCACUGAAACCUAGAACUAGACGACAUUCAGUGGCCAGAGCUGCAUCCCCUUCCAGUCAACCAGAAGGGAAGAAGAGUCCUCUCACGGUUGUUUUGGAUGUGCCGAGGAAUAUAUGGAGACGGACUUUAAAGCCUCUGGGUGAUUUUGGGUUUGGUAAGAGGAGUGUUUGGGAAGGUGGGGUUGGUUUGUUUCUCAUCUCCGGAGCUACUCUUCUUGCUCUCAGUUGGGCUUGGUUACGAGGGUUUCAAAUGCGGGCCAAGUUCAGGAAGUAUCAGACCGUGUUUGAGCUUAGUCAAGCCUCUGGUAUCUGCACGGGAACACCGGUUAGGAUCCGUGGUGUGACCGUUGGUACGGUUAUUAGGGUUAAUCCGUCCUUGAAGAACAUUGAAGCUGUUGCUGAGAUUGAAGAUGAUAAGAUUAUUAUCCCUAGGAACUCACUGGUUGAGGUGAAUCAGUCUGGUCUUCUAAUGGAGACUAUGAUCGACAUUACGCCUAAGGAUCCGAUACCAGAACCUUCGGUAGGGCCUCUGCAUCAAGAGUGUGGUAAAGAAGGGUUGAUUGUGUGUGAUAGGGAGAAGAUAAAGGGAGAGCAAGGAGUGAGUUUAGAUGAACUAGUUGGGAUAUUCACUCGUAUGGGGCGUGAUGUGGAGGAGAUCGGUGUUGCCAAUGUGUUUUCUCUUGCUGAGAGAGCUGUUUCGGUUAUCGAAGAUGCGAAACCAUUGCUCAGAAAGAUUCAAGCCAUGGCUGAAGAUGCUCAACCUUUGCUGUCUGAGUUUCGUGAUAGCGGCUUGCUCAAGGAUGUUGAGUGUCUGACUCGAAACCUGACCCAAGCUUCUGAUGAUAUGAGUAUUGUUGUAUUGUAGAGCAUAAGUUCAGAUAUUCUGGGAUUCACAGGCGAUGAAACCACAAGAAAAAACCUUAAACUACUCAUCAAAUCCCUCAAUAGGCUACCAUGAUCAACAAGGGUUUUUCCCAAGGAAGGAGAAGGAAGAUCUCUCACUUAAUAAUUUCGAGGGGUUAUUAUUAUUAUAUUAUAUUUUAAUUUUGAAAAAGAAAAAAAAAUAGACGAGGGUGUUUCGGUCAUUACAUGUGGACAAUUUGGUCUUUUGAAGCGAUUAAUUUAAUAAUAAUAAUGGUCGGGGUCAGGACAGAAGGCGCAAGUGCUUACCUCUCUUUUUCUUUCUUCGCAUUUCGAGACA